UUGCCAGGAGCCCAGCCCACCGCCGCACCGCGCGACCCGCCGAGCACCGAAGCCGUCUGCCACCGGUCGCCCGCCAGGAUCUCACGGCCACCACGCGCGCCCGCGCUAGGACCCUGGCGCCCUGGCCCUUCUACCUACGCGCCCCUAUCUGCCGCUCGCGGCUCGCCCGACCACCGUCGUUGGCCCUUCGCCGGUGCCUCCCGGUACUCGGGCACCGGCCGCGCCCACGCCGCCACGCGUGACGCACCCACACGGGACUCGGGCAGCGACACCACCCAGGCGGCCAACUUGGAGCUGUGGAAAUCUUCAUCAUUGCGAAUCUGCGACCUAUUAGAUGCAUUACUUUGGCUAAUGGCUAUGGUUGGUGAUGGGACAAUAAAUGUGGUGCUUCUAGGCGGUCAGGCCCCAGGCGUUUACCUGAAUAUUUUUUUGCUAAUGUUUUGCCUUGCCCGGUUCAUAAAUUGAAGGAUGCGAGCGUACUGGGCAACGUUGUGAAUGAUCCCUUGCCCCUUGGCUGCUCCUUUGUUUACUUGAUCCAUAUGCUCUUUGAGACUCUUGGCUGCAUUCUGGAGUAUGACAUCGUAGUGAUCUUCCAAUGCCUUCCAUUGGAUCUUCUCGUCCGUUUUGUCCGCAGCAGCAGAUGACAUGAGCAGCAGGACGAGGAGCUCAGGUAAUGCAUGGUUUUUGUUCCUGAUCUUCUCUUUCGUGAUGUGGUCUUCCUUCCGCUUUGGUUUGCUC
rnacentral:misc_RNA from 1 species